AACACUGUUAACCUGCGGUACCUGCGGAAGGAUCAUUACAGAGUGUUUAACCCCCUAUAAAAUGGUGGGUCUAACCUCCCGUCCUUUGCUGGGUCCCCCUUCUGGAGGACUUUCAAAACUUUCUGCUUCGGCGGGGUAUACCCGCCGGAACACCCUCAGAAAAUUCUUGAUCAAAAUGGUUCGGUCCGAGAAACUUUUUGUGAAAAUUAGCGAAAAACUUUUAACAACGGAUCUCAGAUC
rnacentral:misc_RNA from 1 species